UGUCGCAACCUGAAAAAUACAGUGCGAAAAAAAAAAACAACCGGCGAAGAAAAAAGACAGAAGAGUCGCCACCGUGCGUUAUUUAUCCCAAAGGAGGGAAAGGAAACGCUCGAAGUAAACCUGAAAAUAGGAAAGAAAAAGACAAGGUCUCGCAACCAAAUCUUGGGUUCGGGAGUCGGUUAUGCGAAGGGAAGGUAUUAGCACCCCUACGCAUCCGUAGUACUCUACGGGAUCCACUUAUGCGGUUUCUGUUUAAAGGGUAUG
rnacentral:lncRNA from 1 species